CAAAAAUGUACAAUGACAGCUCGUCGAGUCCUUUCAUUGAUCAAAUUUUACUUGAUAAAUGUUUAUGGAUUAUUCCACUGGAAACUUGUACGUCGUUUAUAUAUUUGCUUUUGAUUGUGUGGAACAUAAUCUGCUUCAUGAUGAUCUUUGUAUUCAGUUUGACCUGUUUAAAGAAAUUUGUAACUUUUCAACGCACUUUAUUACGGAAUAGACAAGCUGCAACUUCUCUCUCUGGUGGCACAGAGAGUGGAGACGACGCUUCCCGGCAAAACAGAAAUCAGGAAAAUGUCGACCAAACUAAUGCUGAAGAUGCCAUGAAUAAUCAACCUAGACCAAGACUAUCCUCCAUAAUAUUUAACUUUUAUAUCACUGAUGUAAAACUAUCCAAUCCAUUUGUUAUGGGAUCACUAUCAGAGAAUUUAUUGAUGGUGAUUGUCGGUUUGCUUGCUUACACUGCCAU